rnacentral:rRNA from 1 species
AUUGAACGCUGGCGGCAGGCCUAACACAUGCAAGUCGAACGAGCGGCGAACGAGUGAGUAAUGUCUGGGAAACUGCCUGAUGGAGGGGGAUAACUCCUGGAAACAGUAGCUAAUACCGCAUACCAUCAGAUGUGCCCAGAUGGGAUUAGCUAGUAGGUGGGGUAAUGGCUCACAUAGGCGACGAACCCUAGCUGGUCUGUGAGGAUGACCAGCCACACUGGAACUGAGACACGGUCCAGACUCCUACGGGAGGCAGCAGUGGGGAAUAUUGCACAAUGGGCGCAAGCCUGAUGCAGCCAUGCCGCGUGUAUGAAGAAGGCCUUCGGGUUGUAAAGUACUUUCAGCGAGGAGGCGUUACUCGCAGAAGAAGCACCGGCUAACUCCGUGCCAGCAGCCGCGGUAAUUC